rnacentral:tRNA from 1 species
GCCUUCGUGGUUUAGUGGUUAGCACGCUCGACGCGUAUUCGAGAGGGCCAUGGUUCGAGUCCCGGCGAAGGAA